AGCUCAAGCGACAAAGAGAAAUUGGGGCGGUAAGGGAGGAAAAUUGGGCACCCAAAGUAAGGGAAAAGAGAGGAAAGCGAGAGAUGAGCAAACCAGUCCACAGAAAUUGGUUGAGAGAGGAGCUCUCACCUUUCAAGCGGCAGCCAGCUUGAUCCUCUGCCGGAUCUGCACCAACAUCCUCCUCCGCCAGCUUCUUGUCUCAUCGGCCAGCCUCCUCCUCUCCAGCAUGGCACAACCCUCUCCCAGGAGGGUGGCAAGUGUCUGCCGCACAACUUGAGUAAGAGUGCCUGCUACGGCUGAUCCAGGAUACGCCCAAAGAGGAGAUCCAUAUUGUGUACAUACAAAUUAUUGCCAAGUGAAUUAAGUUUUAAUUUUUAGUGCAAGGAGUAAUGAGCACAAAUAUAUAUGUGAUCUUUGACAACAAUAUGCUUUUCUUAGUGAUAAAUUUAAAUUAGUGCUUA